GAUGAACGCUGGCGGCGUGCCUAAUACAUGCAAGUCGAGCGAACAGACGAGGAGCUUGCUCCUCUGACGUUAGCGGCGGACGGGUGAGUAACACGUGGAUAACCUACCUAUAAGACUGGGAUAACUUCGGGAAACCGGAGCUAAUACCGGAUAAUAUAUUGAACCGCAUGGUUCAUUAGUGAAAAACGGUUUUGCUGUCACUUAUAGAUGGAUCCGCGCCGCAUUAGCUAGUUGGUAAGGUAACGGCUUACCAAGGCAACGAUGCGUAGCCGACCUGAGAGGGUGAUCGGCCACACUGGAACUGAGACACGGUCCAGACUCCUACGGGAGGCAGCAGUAGGGAAUCUUCCGCAAUGGGCGAAAGCCUGACGGAGCAACGCCGCGUGAGUGAUGAAGGUCUUCGGAUCGUAAAACUCUGUUAUUAGGGAAGAACAAAUGUGUAAGUAACUAUGCACGUCUUGACGGUACCUAAUCAGAAAGCCACGGCUAACUACGUG
rnacentral:rRNA from 1 species